rnacentral:rRNA from 1 species
GUUAAAACAACGAUUCCCGUACAAUCAACGAAGUUGAGCAAUGUCGGACCUGGUCAGUACUUCGAUGGGUGACCUCUUGGGAAUACCAGGUGCUAUA